AACGAACGCUGGCGGCAGGCCUAACACAUGCAAGUCGAGCGCCCUACUUCGGUAGGGAGCGGCGGACGGGUGAGUAACGCGUGGGAACGUGCCCUUUAGUUCAGAAUAGCCACUGGAAACGGUGAGUAAUACUGAAUACGCCCUUCGGGGGAAAGAUUUAUCGCUAAAGGAUCGGCCCGCGUUGGAUUAGCUAGUUGGUGGGGUAAAGGCCUACCAAGGCAACGAUCUAUAGCUGGUCUGAGAGGAUGAUCAGCCACACUGGGACUGAGACACGGCCCAG
rnacentral:rRNA from 1 species